rnacentral:rRNA from 12 species
AGGCGAAAAGAACCCCUGUGAGGGGAGUGAAAUAGAACCUGAAACCGUAUACGUACAAGCAGUGGGAGCCUUUAGGGGUGACUGCGUACCUUUUGUAUAAUGGGUCAGCGACUUAUGUUCAGUGGCGAGGUUAACCGUUUAGGGGAGCCGUAGGGAAACCGAGUCUGAAUAGGGCGAUUUAGUCGCUGGGCAUAGACCCGAAACCGGGCGAUCUAUCCAUGAGCAGGUUGAAGGUUGAGUAACAUCAACUGGAGGACCGAACCCACUGUCUUUGAAAAGCCAGGGGAUGACUUGUGGAUCGGAGUGAAAGGCUAAUCAAGCCCGGAGAUAGCUGGUUCUCCCCGAAAGCUAUUUAGGUAGCGCCUCGGACGAAUACCACAGGGGGUAGAGCACUGUUUCGGCUAGGGGGUCAUCCCGACUUACCAACCCGAUGCAAACUCCGAAUACCUGUGAGUACUAUCCGGGAGACACACGGUGGGUGCUAACGUCCAUCGUGAAGAGGGAAACAACCCAGACCGCCAGCUAAGGUCCCCAAGUACCAGUUAAGUGGGAAACGAUGUGGGAAGGCUCAGACAGCUAGGAGGUUGGCUUAGAAGCAGCCAUCCUUUAAAGAAAGCGUAAUAGCUCACUAGUCGAGUCGGCCUGCGCGGAAGAUGUAACGGGGCUCAAACUGGUCACCGAAGCUGCGGCUGCAUACUUUGUAUGCGGGGUAGGGGAGCGUUCUGUAAGCCUGCGAAGGUGAGUUGAGAAGCUUGCUGGAGGUAUCAGAAGUGCGAAUGCUGACAUGAGUAACGACAAUGCGGGUGAAAAACCCGCACGCCGGAAGACCAAGGGUUCCUGCGCAACGCUAAUCGGCGCAGGGUGAGUCGGCCCCUAAGGCGAGACCGAAAGGUGUAGUCGAUGGGAAACGGAUUAAUAUUUCCGUACCUUGGAUAGCUGCGAUGGAGAGACGGAGAAGGCUAGGCCAGCGCGGCGAUGGUUGUCCGCGUUUAAGGCGGUAGGCUGGUGACUUAGGUAAAUCCGGGUUGCCUU